rnacentral:tRNA from 1 species
GAGAGGAGUAAUAAGAACUGCUAACUCCUACGACUGGUACUAACUUAUCAGGCCUUUCC